GGGGCUGGGCGCGGCCCCGACGCAGCGCCUGGUGCGCAGUAGGCGUUCAGUACCCAAAAAGGCGACAGGAACAGGCUGGCAGGAAUUCAGUCCUCGGGGGCUCAGACCCCAGGUGGAAGCUGACGAGCCCGCGUUCGUUCGGAAAGGACUGCGCGCCUCGGGUUCUAAGCCCUGGGAUACAAGCGGUGAAGAAAGCCCACGUGUCUGCACCGUUUCAGUGGAAACUGCUGAUAAGCCGGGCGAGUGUAGCUCCGUGACCAUGGGCAUCACACUUCAGCCCCUUCCAAGCCUGUGGCCGCCCUUCCCUGAGAUGCCAGUAACAGCAGCACCGGCUGAGGGUGCAACCAGAGGUACAGGCGCCCGGGCCACGUGGAGUGCAGUAAUGGCGGCAGCUUUUCAUGGAUCCACCAGACAUUAAGGCCCUUCUACGUCCUAAACACUACUUUCUAGGCAAUGGGAAUGCAGCCAUGACCCCAAACUAACAGCCCCCACUUGCCCAGAGUCCCCGAGGGGAGGAGGCUGACUUGGGGCCCAAGGUUGUCCAGGCAGAGGCCAUGGGCUGUUUUCUGACAGCCACUGGGAGACCAAAGGUGGUCCAAGAAUGACAGGGGCAAACAAGAAAAGGAACUAACCAACGCAAAAGGGUGGAGCUGGUUUUAUUUAACAGUCUCAUUACAAAAAUAACCAGAAUGUGUGCAGCAGCAAAAUCAGGAAGGAUCCUGCCUGACUUCUGUAAGAGCAGGUGGUCCCGCUUACCCAUAGCCCUGCAGGGGCAGUCAGCGCAGGAAGCUUCCAGGCGAGGUAGCAGGCAGAGCUCUGUGUAGGAGGCCUGGUCUUGGCUAGUUUUGUCUGCUCUGAGCACUACCUCCCCUCACCCUGGUAAACAGCUCAGGUCGGGCCUCCCAACACUAGGCAUCCUUCCUGCCCCACUGUUAGGUGCCCAACAGGACAAACUGUCCUGGAAACUUCCCUCUACCCAGCCAGCCAGAAGACAGCAAAUAAGAGGUGAUGACUGAAGGAAGGAUGGGCCAGCAGCCCAGAAUGGCUGGGGGAACACUCCUAGGUGGGCUGUCCCUGGGCUGACAGGGCCAUAGUGGCUCCCCCAGGGGGAAUGAAGGCUGAAGGGAGUUGAGGCUGUGGGGGCCCAGAGGGGGGCACUGGAUUUCAUUCCGAAGGUCCAGGGGCCCAGGGAGAGGAGCCCUGGGAGGCUCAGGUGUGCUCUGUGGGGCCGGGGCCGCCGGUGUGGGAGUGGGCAGGGGCUGCUGCCUGCAGGGGGCCGGCACUGGGCUCCGGGGAUGCCAGCAGAGGGGCUGAGAGGCCAUCAGCAGGGUCUGUGUCGAGGUCCAGCCUCCAGUAAGCUUCGCAUAGAGGCAGAUCAUUAGCUUCGCAAAGACUUGAGCUUUUCCACCACCAGAAACCCAGGGAGAGACAGGAGCAGGCAGGAUGGAAGCCAGGGGAAGGAAAGCGAGAUAGAAGCAGAGUUAAGAAACAGACCACACCCCGGACCGCCCUCUCCUCUGUACUGGCCCCUCCAACAAGCAGGCCUGGCUGAGGGGCAGGCACGUGUGGGCUGCCCCUGCUUCAGGGUCCCCCAGGGAUUCCUAAAAGGAGUCUACUGGGACCAGCCACCAGCAGGCUGUGUGAUCUCGGCAGGUCCCUUCCACUAACCAACCCGUGUCCUUUCUGCCACAUGGCCUUCCUAGCCCCCGCUGUCACUUCCUAUCCUGGCUCCAGCUGCCUUCCUCCUCCAGCCUGGCCACAUACUCUGUUCACAGCUGCAGGAACCAGUGUCCAGAGCUUGCUAGAGUCCUUCCCUGAUCCUAAUGCUUCGCAAGCCCCCUGAGGGUACAGACCCUGUCUUCCUUCUGGGUCUGCCCCUGGCUGGGCCUCAGCCUAAACUGGGCAGCAAUUAGAAGCGGAGGCCCUGGCAUUCUGUCUCGCACCACUGACCAGCUGUGCGACCUCAAACAGGCCCCUUGAACUCAGUCUCCCAUCUCUAGUACAGGCACAGCCAGGCCGGCCUCUCGGGGCUGCGAGAAGACUUGGGAUGUAGAUGCAGGUGAAGAGCAUGGCUCUGGAAGGUGGUCAAGAGGGUGCACAGAGCACGGUCCUGUCCCUGCAGUCGUCUUGCUGGCUGUCUCCCGAAUCCUGCCCUGCCCCUCGCUUCCUCCCGCGUUCCUGCCCUCAGUGUUUAGUCUCCGAAACCAUCCUGAACACAGAGCAGUGUCCCAAGGAGAGUGGAGGGUGAGAGGAAGAAAAAGAGCAAAUCGAGAGCAGAAAGCAGAGCAGAGAGUGUGGAGAUGGGUGUGUGGGCAACGGGGAAGCACCUGGAGUGCUGGCGGCUCGGGGGGCUGGGGCACACGCAACCCGUGUUGGGGGAUAAGCCAGGGGAGGUGAAGACACAGCCCGCUGGUCCUGACGCAGCUGAGCCCCAGCCACUGACAUACAUUUACAGAUGAGGGACGAACUCAGCCUCCGGAGGUACCAGGAAUAGUGGGAGGGGCUCCCAGGCCAGACCAGAAACCAUCCAGGUGAACCAGAGACUGAUAGACCAGGAGCCAGGAUGUGGGAGGCCCAGCUCUCAGGACCCCAGGGUUUCACUGUGGGCCUGGCCCUUGGGGCAGCAGAGGGACAAACACAGGGACAUAAGGGAUUCUGGGAUUCUGCAAAACCAAGCGGGGCUGUGAGCAAUGUCCCAGCAAAGUUUGAGUCCCCGUGAGACCCGCUCUGGACCCUCUCUGAAGGCCUGGUGUGUAGGCAGUGCUCGCUGCGUGUCUGCUGAGCCGAUGGGAUCAGGGACGAGACGUGGCCCCACCCUCCAGAAAGGUCUAAACCGCUCUAGCUGGGCAGUGAGACUCUCCCUUCCCACAGAGGCUAGGAUGGGCAGGGACCCUGAAGGGCGCACUGAGUCCAGUGCAGGGAAGCCAAGCCUCAGACCAAAGGUGUGCUGGCUCUGGGUGUCUGCGGCCCCAGCAUGGCCUCCACAGGACAGAGAGGAGCACUGAAAAUCCAUGACAGAAAAAAAAAAAUUGUGCAGCGAGGGCGAGAGGGAGCAUGGACUUUGUGUCUGCUGAGACCUCCCAGUUUCCAGCCU